AGCCGCCUAGGGUAAAAUCGGUAAUUGGGGCUAAGUCGUAACAAGGUAGCCGUAUCGGAAGGUGCGGCUGGAAUACCUCCUUUUUAGAGCGCAUUAUAC
rnacentral:rRNA from 1 species